rnacentral:rRNA from 1 species
UACGUAGGGGGCUAGCGUUGUCCGGAAUCAUUGGGCGUAAAGCGCGCGUAGGCGGCCCAGUAAGUCCGUUGUAAAAGUCAAAGGCUCAACCUUUGAAAGCCGAUGGAUACUGCUGGGCUAGAGUCCGGAAGAGGCGAGUGGAAUUCCUGGUGUAGCGGUGGAAUGCGCAGAUAUCAGGAGGAACACCAGUGGCGAAGGCGCCGCUCUGGGCCGUGACUGACGCUGAGGAGCGAAAGCGUGGGUAGCAAACAGG